rnacentral:rRNA from 1 species
GACGGACGCUGGCGGCGUGCCUAAUACAUGCAAGUCGAGCGCAGGAAAUCGACGGAACCCUUCGGGGGGAAGUCGACGGAAUGAGCGGCGGACGGGUGAGUAACACGUAAAGAACCUGCCCUCAGGUCUGGGAUAACCACGAGAAAUCGGGGCUAAUACCGGAUGGGUCAUCGGACCGCAUGGUCCGAGGAUGAAAGGCGCUUCGGCGUCGCCUGGGGAUGGCUUUGCGGUGCAUUAGCUAGUUGGUGGGGUAAUGGCCCACCAAGGCGACGAUGCAUAGCCGACCUGAGAGGGUGAUCGGCCACACUGGGACUGAGACACGGCCCAGACUCCGACGGGAGGCAGCAGUAGGGAAUCUUCCACAAUGGACGAAAGUCUGAUGGAGCAACGCCGCGUGAACGAUGAAGGCCUUCGGGUCGUAAAGUUCUGUUGUAAGGGAAGAACAAGUGCCGCAGGCAAUGGCGGCACCUUGACGGUACCUUGCGAGAAAGCCACGGCUAACUACGUGCCAGCAGCCGCCGUAA